UGGUUCUGGCAUCGAUGAAGAACGCAGCGAAAUGCGAUAAGUAAUGUGAAUUGCAGAAUUCAGUGAAUCAUCGAAUCUUUGAACGCACAUUGCGCCCGCCAGUAUUCUGGCGGGCAUGCCUGUUCGAGCGUCAUUUCAACCCUCAAGCCCCCUGGGCUUGGUGUUGGGGAUCGGCUCCCUCGCCCCCGGGCCGGAGCCGCCCCCGAAAAUCAGUGGCGGUCUCGCUGUAGCUUCCCCUGCGUAGUAAUACACCUCGCACUGGAGCGCGGCGCGGCCACGCCGUAAAACCCCAACUUCUGAAGGUUGACCUCGGAUCAGGUAGGAAUACCCGCUGA
rnacentral:misc_RNA from 1 species